CUCACUCUGCUUCACUUCCUACACUCUUUUGGGUCUUGGUUCUGCCUGAAGUCAGAUUCCUGUAAGGUGCCAGAAUGUCGUACCAGGAGCAACAGUGCAAGCAGACGUGCCUGCCACCACCUGUUCAGUGCAAAAAGAGCUGCCCCCCUCAGCAGGAAAUCUGCCCUCCGCUGCAGCAGGUCUGCCCCCCGCCGCAGCAGGUCUGCCCCCCGCCACAGCAGGUCUGCCCCCCGCCACAGCAGGUCUGCCCACCACAAGACCCCCAGGAUCCAAAGUGCUGCUGAUGAAGCACUGAAAGAAAUAGCCAAAGCAAAAUACGGACAGCAAGAAAGGAGAUGGAAGCUCAAAACCAUGGACAUGGUGCCUCUUCAUUUAUUUCUAUGCUUGCGUAGACUCAGUUAUAACAAUAUCAUGUUACUCCAGCAUUUCGUAUAUGCUAAGCCUUUUUGCUUGGCAAGUUCAGUCUCAUUUCACUCUGUUUCCCUGCCAUCGGUGGAUGUUCUGCUUGUUAGUUUCGACUCAUCUGUGUAAGACAUGAUUCUUGAAUUGUUGGCAAGCAACUAGAUGCGCAUCUUCUUUGACGGCAUUUUUGGCAGCUGAGCACAUGUUGGAAAGGUUUGGAGGGGGAAUCUGUCUUUGCAGUUUUCCAACAAAACUUUCAAGGUGUGCCCAGUAUUGUAGCCACAUGUUUCCAUGGUCAUUUCACCAUUGUAUUCUCUCUGCUGUUCAGUUGCUCUGGAAUUGCUCUGUGCCUGGAGGCAUUAUUAAAAUAUUACAAUGAA